GUCCACGCUGUAAACGAUGAUCACUAGAUGUGGGUUCUGCUUAGCAGGAUCUGUAUCGAAGCUAACGCGUUAAGUGAUCCGCCUGGGGAGUACGGUCGCAAGAUUAAAACUCAAAGAAAUUGACGGGGGUCCGCACAAGCGGUGGAACAUGUGGUUUAAUUCGACACUACGCGAGGAACCUUACCUAGGCUUGACAUGUAAGCGCUACCGGCAGAAACGUCGGGUUUUGAGAAAUACAAACGAUUACACAGGUGCUGCAUGGCUGUCGU
rnacentral:rRNA from 1 species